rnacentral:rRNA from 1 species
GACAGAGGAUGCAAGCGUUAUCCGGAAUUAUUGGGCGUAAAGAGCUCGUAGGCGGCUUGUCGCGUCGAAUGUGAAAACUCGGGGCUCAACUCCGAGCUUGCAUUCGAUACGGGCAGGCUAGAGUUCGGUAGGGGAGACUGGAAUUCCUGGUGUAGCGGUGAAAUGCGCAGAUAUCAGGAGGAACACCGGUGGCGAAGGCGGGUCUCUGGGCCGAUACUGACGCUGAGGAGCGAAAGCGUGGGGAGCGAACAGG